rnacentral:rRNA from 1 species
UACAGAGGUGGCAAGCGUUGUUCGGAAUUACUGGGCGUAAAGGGCGCGUAGGCGGCCGCCUAAGUCAGACGUGAAAUCCCCAAGCUUAACUUGGGAACUGCGUCUGAUACUGGGUGGCUUGAGUUCGGGAGAGGAAUGUGGAAUUCCAGGUGUAGCGGUGAAAUGCGUAGAUAUCUGGAGGAACACCGGUGGCGAAGGCGGCAUUCUGGACCGAAACUGACGCUGAGGCGCGAAAGCCAGGGGAGCAAAC